rnacentral:misc_RNA from 1 species
GGUUGGGCAUUUUGCUGGUCACCCUUGUAGCGCUACAGUGGCGAUGGGUACCUCCCUCCGGUCGAGUUGAUCCCACUGUCAAUUUCGGCAACUUUAUCAAGCUGCUGAUCCUGCCAUCGAUCACACUCGGCGUGCCGACCGCAGCAGUCCUGGCACGCUUUAUCAAGACUUCGCUCCUGGAAGUGAUGGGACAGGACUAUAUUCGCACGGCGCGCGGUAAGGGUUUGAGUGGCAAUGUCAUUGUGCUGCGCCAUGCCCUACGCAACGCCAUGUUGCCUGUCGUUACCGUCUUUAGCCUGCAAUUCGGUGCUUUCCUCGGCGGCUCAGUCGUUACCGAAUCCAUCUUCGAUUGGCCUGGAUUGGGGAGUCUGGCAUUG